CCCAUUAAAAAAUAAAACCUACUACCAAAAUAAUAAAUGCAUUUCCCAGUGCUGCUGGGCAAUGUCCCGCCUUCCUGACUUGCAUCUAUCAUUGAUUAGUUCUGAAAACUUUAAACCCGCCCCAACUACUGAGUGACAGCAAAUUCCUACAUUUCUAUUGGAGACUCCGCUUGCGAGAUUUAAAACGAGAUUACAAUCAGGAUGGAGGCUUGGUAGUGGGAUUUCAAGCUGUAUUACAGUUAAGACACGGAGGAUUUAAAACAGAAUUGUGGAAUGUAAAAAAAAGGCUAGACACAAAAACCCCAGAAGAAUGUGCCCGUGACCAAAAGGAUUUCACUGUGGAAGACAGCAAAGGAAAGCAGUCUUGUCAGCUUGAUUCAGACUCGCAGCUUGUACGAGAGGACCGUUCCUCUGCUCUCGCCUGGCUGCGAUGAUGCUCUCCUUGGCUCUCCUCUGCCGUGAAUAUUUCCUCCAAGGCUGCGGUGCGGGUCUCAGGGGUCCCAGGAGGUCAGAUCUGAGCAGUGCAACUCCAACGAGCUCUGGCAGAUUCGCCUAAAGCGACUGUUGCCUCCAGUUCACUGGCAUUCCAUCCUGCAUGAUUUUUUUUUCUGCCUAAAUGGAUAUCGCUUGAUCCUCUCCGUCCUGCUGUGGACUGCAUCCUUCUUCCUUCUGCCGGAGCUGGG